rnacentral:rRNA from 1 species
UACGUAGGGGGCGAGCGUUAUCCGGAAUUAUUGGGCGUAAAGAGUACGUAGGCGGGAACUUAAGCGCAGGGUUUAAGGCAUUGGCUUAACCAAUAGCAUGCCCUGUGAACUGAGAUUCUUGAGUGCAGGAGGGGAAAGCGGAAUUCCUAGUGUAGCGGUGAAAUGCGUAGAUAUUAGGAGGAACACCAGUGGCGAAGGCGGCUUUCUGGACUGUAACUGACGCUGAGGUACGAAAGUGUGGGGAG